rnacentral:rRNA from 1 species
GACAUCAGGAGGUUAGUGCAAUGGCAUAAGCCAGCGUGACUGCGAGCGUGACGGCGCGAGCAGGUGCGAAAGCAGGUCAUAGUGAUCCGGUGGUUCUGAAUGGAAGGGCCAUCGCUCAACGGAUAAAAGGUACUCCGGGGAUAACAGGCUGAUACCGCCCAAGAGUUCAUA